ACACCGGUGGUGUAGUGGUUAAGGCGCUUGACUGGUAAACAGGAGGACGUGGGUUCAAUCCCGACCGAGGUA
rfam:Asian citrus Psyllid, Diaphorina citri - Florida Strain, whole genome shotgun sequence.